rnacentral:rRNA from 1 species
ACAGAGUGACAGGUGGUGCAUGGUUGUCGUCAGCUCGUGUCGUGAGAUGUUGNGUUAAGUCCCGCAACGAGCGCAACCCUUGAUNUUAGUUGCCAGCAUUCAGUUGGGCANUCUAAGGUGACUGCCGGUGACAAACCGGAGGAAGGUGGGGAUGACGUCAAAUCAUCAUGCCCCUUAUNACNUGGGCUACACACGUGCUACAAUGGAUGGUACAAAGGGCAGNGAAGCCGCGAGGUGGAGCCAAUCCCAUAAAACCAUUCUCAGUUCGGAUUGCAGGCUGCAACUCGCCUGCAUGAAGCNGGAAUCGCUAGUAAUCGCGGAUCAGCAUGCCGCGGUGAAUACGUUCCCGGGCCUUGUACACACCGCCCGUCACACCACGAGAGUUUGUAACACCCGAAGUCGGUGGGGUAACCGCAAGGAGCCAGCCGCCUAAGGUGGGACAGAUGAUUGGGGUGAAGUCGUAAGCAAGGUAGCCGUAUCGGAAGGUGCGGCUGGAUCACCU